AUUAAAGGUGAUUUCCUCUCUAAGGGCCAAUGAGAGCCUCUCUCAGGAAAGUAGCAACUUGGAAGAAAAUCUGGCAUGCCCAAGGUCUUUGGGGAACUGAGAAUAUGUAAUUUCUUUUGCCUUCCUUUGGCUACUUUACAUGU
rnacentral:snoRNA from 1 species